CGGAGAACCUAGCCUGCUAAGCAGAUUUUCAUUGUAAAUCUGUCUGGUUUCCUGCCAGGUCACCUGCAUGGCUCCUUGGCUGCUUGCCAGUGCUUGCAGCUCUAAGGUAGCCACACCAGAACGCCUGCCCUGAUCUGAGACCUCGGCUCCCUGCAUUUACAUCUGUGUAGGAAGAGCCCUGGGCACAGGGACCCCUCCCAGGCAGAACCCCAGCUUCCCUGCAGGCUCUGAGGCAGCUUGGGUGGAUUUCCAUCCUCUGAAAAGUUUAGGGGAAAGGGAAAAAAAAGUUGUUCUGAAACUGAAUGGGAACUGUUUCUGCAAUGUUGAUGCUUCCUGCAGACCACGAACUCUGAAUUUGGCAGCUCUCAUGUGCCAGUAGAUAGAAGCAAGGGCAGAUGUCAAAUGGCAGGCUGUGCCUACCAUCAGCUGUGCUCCACGUUAUGUCUCCUGUCUUGACUACGCUGUGGUCUUCUCCGAGCUGAGAAAAGACAGUGACAAUGGAGAAAGGAAAGCCCUGAACAAGCGUUUCUGGCAUGAGGAAGAACCAGCUUCAGCGUCUCACCCUGCCACGUGUAGAACCUCGUGUUUCCUGUACUUGCUGGCACACUUGACUGCAGCCCUUCCUUCUCCAACAUGUCUCUGAGAUGCUGUCCCCAAGCAUGCUGGCAUGUUUGCACGAAACAUGUAUGAUCCAUCGGCCCAAUUUCCAUCUGCUACAGGAGUACUUUCUGUCUCUGAGAAUCCAGCCUGCCCAUGGAGAUAGGCUCUCUCGCAGAGUGCAGUGGGUUUUUGCAUGCUAAUCUACCUUGAGCAGAGUAUUAAGCAACAGAGGGCGCACAGGGCCCCCAGAAUCCCUUGGAAGGAUUAGCUGUGCCACUGAAUUGGAGAAGGUGCCCAGGAAGCCCACAAGACAUGCAAUAGCUGCCUGGGUUGAUAAGAAGUUAAGCAGACCAGUGUUGUUUUUCACUCAGAAAAGAGAGGGCUGUGAGAUGAUAUGACACAGGAGAUGUGCAACAUAAAAAGGAGAGAUGGGAGAGUCUGUCCAAGAGCUAGGAGAUGUUGCAUGAAGCUACUGGCCAGAAGGUUUAAAAUUUAAAGUGGAAGUGUUUUUCUACAUGUUACAAAACCAGCCUCAGUG
rnacentral:lncRNA from 1 species